AGGGGUUCUUCUCCAGCAGGCUGUUCAGGCCAUUGUUGCGAGCCUUCUCUUUGCGGGACAUUUUGCUGAAAAAUAGGUCGCCGUCAGGAUCUUGGGACACAUCUAUUCCUACCACUCCUAGGUGAUCGAUAUAGAACAAAGAUGUUGCUAUAUUUGGUUGCAUGCUUUUAUUACCGAAUCCUUUUUCUCUCUCCGUAUCAAUAAAAAUAGGCAUUCAGCCCAAGAUGCACAUUAGUGAAAGGCGGAGUGCCCUAUGCAGUAUGCACUUUUCUUUUAUCAAGGAUUCUAUUUAUAUCAUGGAUAUCAUGGAUAUCUCUUAAUUCUCUUGGAAAGUUACGAGUCUUAUUAUAGAACCUACAGUUAAAGAUUUGCAUCCGGAAAUGGCUUAACUUAUUUCUGGGUGAUGUCUCUGUACGGAUCCAAGUCCUCAAGUACUUGCUACCCCACAUGUUCAUGAUUCGUGGUUGGCAGGUGAAGUUUACUUGAAUUCUAUCUUGCUGCUGAUCGAUCAUGGUGAUCUAGUAGGCUGGGACAAAUCCUAGAGGUGGAUGGAGAGAUUUGGGUAGUGAAUGUUUAAUUUAGCAGACUCUAGAUUGCACAUAAAUAAAUGAGCUUAUGAUCAAGGGAAAAGGUCUUGAAACUUCUUGUUUUGUUCUUGAUUGGAAAAGCUGACAUUAUUCCAAGUUCCGCCUAUUACCGUUAUGCAUACAUAUUCUAUAAUUAAUAUCUUUAGGAAAUAACUAUAAACUUCAUCUGUUACAUAUUGUUUAAAAAUAUAACAAAUUACAUUUGAGUUUAGUAAAGGGAUUCAGGUAGAGGGUAACUGAGCUAGAUGAUUAUGCUAGGGCAUGACAAUCCCACAUAGUUUGAGUUCUUUUUGGAAUCAAGUAUUUUCUUUUUCCAAAAGCUAAAUCUGUGUUAAUAUGCAUCAUGGUUUGGAUAUUUAUUCUACAGUCAAGAAAUAAUCUGAAUUUUUGAGUUGCUUGUGGUAUUCACAAUGAUUUUGAAAUGAUUGCAUAUAGUCUACUCCCUUAUCAGCUGUUUCAUCCUAAUAACAAAACUGCUUCGACUUCGAUAUAUGCAUAAUGAAAUUAAUAUUGUGGUGUCGCCUGUCAUUAAGUUCUUCUCAUGAAUAAAAUUGUAAAUUGUUUAUAUUCCUUCCCUAUAGGGCAUCCUUUAACUUUCAAAUUAAGAUUUCAAUUCUUGUCUUCGUAUCGGUAAAUAUUCAUUUUGCAAGAAUUGGAAAACAGAGGAGCUGUCAGGUAAGAAAGGAAUGAAUUUUUUUUUGAGUUCCUUUCAUGGAUUCGCUUUGAGACUUGGAUCCUUCGAUGGUUGAGGCGCCUUACCAAGAGCACGGCCGGAUUUGGGGUUUUCACAACCGAGCAAACCUGACGAGGACAUCAUUAUAGUUGAACUUUUAUUAUUGUUUCAGUAUUUUAGUUGGACUUUUAUUAUUGUUUCAGUUGGACUUUUAUUUAAGUUUACGUAUUUUAGUUAGGACUUAAGUAAUGGGCUUGGCCCUAUAUUUCUAGGUUUUUAUUAUUUAAACCUAUCUUGGUUUGUAAAUUUGGACGAUGAAUUUGAUUAAUUAAAGAGUUGGCUGUAGCCGUUUUCCUCCUUCU